AUUCAAAUAAUUCCACAAAUCAAAAUCAAUUUCUAAUAACAUAUUUGAACUAAAAGAUGAAAAAAUCAACAAAAACUUAAGAGUACAUCAUCCACAGUACUGAUCACUGAUGAGUGCAAAUCUUUUCUCACAUACAAUAUAUCACUAACACAAGUUCAUUCCUUACUGCAUGUCACGUCAAUAUAUUUACAUGGAGGAAGGUUGCCUUCGGUCCUUUGGAACAGCGGCAUAUAUUCUUGGGGCUAGGUAGGCAAAGCAUCUCUGGCCUAUUCGUUUUUCUGCUCUUGGGGUGAGGUAUUGAUUUGUUUUGUUUCGUGUUUCAUAUUCACACUCAGUUAGUUGGAGUUGAAUUUUUUGUUCACUUAUGCCAAUUAAAAUCUGCAGAACAAAUAAUUGGUGAGGAUUCAUGACCCUGGAAACAGCAAACAAUUCGUCUGAUGGAUAUAGAAGAGGCUUUCCGUAGAUGAUUCGAAGCAACCAUUUCUGGACCACCUCCACCCUCCUUACAUGACAAGUAUAUGCUCCGCCCCAACCUAUUAUCCCAUAUCCUAUUUGGGACUGACAUAAAGCUGAGUAUAUCAUCAUUAAGCUCUUUGUAUCCAAAUACUUUUUCAGAUAUCUAAACUUGGUAAGUAAACAUCUUAAUUUGAUCACCAAGAUAUCAAUAUGUUUACUCCAUUUUAGAUGUCGAUCAAUUGUAACUCCUAGAUAUUUUAUGUUUUCAGCUUCGGGAAUUGAUGUUUCAUUGUCAACUUCUAAAUUGCCCAUAUGUGGAAGUCCUGAUUGGUAAGCAGCAAAUGGCCUAGUUUUUCCGCAGAGAUCAUCUACAUAUAACCAUAGAGAUCUCGCCUUUGAAGUGUUCUCUGUUACGAAGCUAUUCAUAUAAUCUUUUUUUGCGGUUUUUAUCAAUUUCUGUAAAACAUUUCGAUACCUUGAAUAUUGAAUCUUCAACCUCCCAUUAAGUGGGUCUUUGAUGGUUUUCUUAUAUAAUCUAUUUUUUUCAUUUAUUGCCUUCAAAAGACCUGGUGUAAUCCAGUCCUUCUUAACUAAUUUUUUACAUGAAAAUUUAAUGCUUGUUGUAUUUUUUUCUGUAUAAUAAGUUAAUGAAUCAAUAAAAGCUUCUGCAAAAGAGUUUACAUCUUUAUUUUCAAUCAUUUUAUCCCAAUUUAUUCUUCCAAGAUCCUCUUUCAAUCUGCCAUAAUCAACAUAACUUUUAUAUUUUUGAGCUUUUUCUCCUUGGAUUUUUUCAAUAUCUAGGCACAAUAAUAUCGCACAGUGAUCGGUAAUAUCUGAACGAAGAAUGAAUGCACUAUUUUUAUCUCCAGUGGGAUCACGACGACCAAGAAAGAUAUGAUCCAAACAACUACCACUGGAAGGUCUGGUU